UAUGGCGAAGUGCUCACUGCUUCAGUUAGCGUGGCAUACUUGUCCGAUUCUUCGCAGCUAACGUGGUGAAAGGUCGUCCUGUUCAUGCGCGACGAUAACCGUGUAACUCGCUGAGUUUCAACUUGCAGUCAAGAAGUUUCGAUGGGGUUCUCGAAAGCUCUCCUUGGAUUCACGGUGAUCGCAAGUUCCAGUAUGAUGGUUGAGACCAACCCAACACUAGCUCCAAUUCAGGCACGUUGACAUGAAUGACGGUAUAUUUGCCGAUACCGCAAUCAAUACGCCGCCACCGUUUCUUUCAGCCCUGUCAUGAAGGAUCGUCCCCCUAGAAGAAAAGGCUCAGAAACAUGUCUACAGGAUCCCCUGUGGUGACUGUCCCGCCUCCUACGUUAGUGGAACUAAAAACUUCUCGGAACGUCGAUGUCAGCACGUCGAUGUCGCCAAAAAUAAUAACGUGCAAGGUAGCGCGCUGGCAGAACACGUCCAGAAAGAGAGUCACACGAUCGGAUUCAACGACAGCUCUAUUCUUGGCCCGGAAAGAAACUGGCGAAGACGCCUUUUAUUGGUGUCCUGGUACAUUCAAAACACCGAAAAUAACGUCAACCGGUCAACUGGGACACUUCCAAGCGCCUAAGUCUCCGGCUUACGGCCCGUCACGCGGGGCGCUACGAACCAUAACACGUACAGAAACAACGGCCGCUUUAAAGAAGCCAACAACACCGGGCAAUUGGCAAGACGACGUCAAGAACGAAAACAGUCAACAGGGGGCCGAACUGGCCUUGAAGCGUCGGGCUCCGUAUUAUUUUUUUGUUAGGGUUUUCCUUCUACAUUAAUAAACUAGAGCCCGUUACAAAGGGUACACCCGUUACCAUUAUCCUUC